rnacentral:ncRNA from 2 species
GCCGUCGAGGGGCGCUGCGACCAUGGAAUGCGCGGACACUCCGCCACCGCCCGCCCUGCGGGCCGGGAUCCUGGCCAGGCUCGACGCGCUUCACCGCGACAACGGCGCCCGGACCAC